rnacentral:rRNA from 1 species
GCUGGCGGUGUGCUUUAUGCAUGCAAGUCGAACGAUUCAUUUCGGUGAUUAGUGGCAGACGGGUGAGUAACACGUAAGUGACCUGCCCUUAAGUGGGGAACAACUCUGAGAAAUCGGAGCUAAUACCGCAUGUGGUGAUGGUGUUAAUACGCCAACACUAAAGCCUUCGGGUGCUUGAGGAGGGGCUUGCGUCCGAUUAGCUAGUUGGUGAGGUAAAGGCCUACCAAGGCGACGAUCGGUAGCUGGUUUGAGAGGACGACCAGCCACACUGGGACUGAGACACGGCCCAGACUCCUACGGGAGGCAGCAGCAAGGAAUAUUGGGCAAUGGGCGGAAGCCUGACCCAGCGACACCGCGUGGAGGAAGAAGGCCUUCGGGUUGUAAACUCCUUUUCCCGGGGAAGAAUAAUGACGGUACCUGGGGAAUAAGUCUCGGCUAACUACGUGCCAGCAGCCGCGGUAAUACGUAGGAGACGAGCGUUAUCCGGAUUUACUGGGCGUAAAGGGGGCGUAGGCGGCUUUUCAAGUUGGAUGUGAAAUCUC